AUACGUAGGGGGCGAGCGUUGUCCGGAAUGAUUGGGCGUAAAGGGCGCGUAGGCGGCCCGGUAAGUCUGGAGUGAAAGUCCUGCUUUUAAGGUGGGAAUUGCUUUGGAUACUGUCGGGCUUGAGUGCAGGAGAGGUAAGUGGAAUUCCCAGUGUAGCGGUGAAAUGCGUAGAGAUUGGGAGGAACACCAGUGGCGAAGGCGACUUACUGGACUGUAACUGACGCUGAGGCGCGAGAGUGUGGGGAGCAAACAGGAUUAGAUACCCUGGUAGUCCACACUGUAAACGAUGAAUGCUAGGUGUAGGGGGUAUCGACCCCUUCUGUGCCGCAGUUAACACAAUAAGCAUUCCGCCUGGGGAGUACGGCCGCAAGGUUGAAACUCAAAGGAAUUGACGGGG
rnacentral:rRNA from 1 species